CAGCAUGGCCUUUACUAUCCUGGGCGUACACACACGCUACAAUGGGAAGGGACAAUAGGUUGCGAAGCCGCGAGGCGGAGCCAAUCCAGACAAAACUUCCCUCAGUUCAGAUUGCAGGCUGCAACUCGCCUGCAUGAAGUUGGAGUUGCUAGUAAACGCAGGUCAGCCAUACUGCGUUGAAUACGUUCCCGGGGCUU
rnacentral:rRNA from 1 species